UACGUAGGCAGCAAGCGUUGUUCGGAGUUACUGGGCGUAAAGGGUGUGUAGGCGGUUGUUUAAGUUUGGUGUGAAAUCUCCCGGCUCAACUGGGAGGGUGCGCCGAAUACUGAAUGACUAGAGUGUGGGGAGAGGUGAGUGGAAUUCCUGGUGUAGCGGUGAAAUGCGUAGAUAUCAGGAGGAACACCGGUGGUGUAGACGGCUCACUGGACCAUAACUGACGCUGAGACACGAAAGCGUGGGGAGCAAACAGG
rnacentral:rRNA from 1 species